CCGUAUGCGGGAAAACCGCACGUACGGUUCUGUGAGGGGUGAAUUAGACAACCUUCACAUAGAGAGGAGGAAUGUCGAGAUUUGUCUACUCGAC
rnacentral:ncRNA from 1 species